UACGGGGGGGGCAAGCGUUGUUCGGAAUUACUGGGCGUAAAGGGCUCGUAGGCGGCCAACUAAGUCGGACGUGAAAUCCCCAGGCUCAACCUGGGAACUGCGUCCGAUACUGGAUGGCUUGAAUCCGGGAGAGGGAUGCAGAAUUCCAGGUGUAGCGGUGAAAUGCGUAGAGAUGUGGAGGAACACCAGUGGCGAAGGCGACUCUUUGGCCUGUAACUGACACUGAGGCGCGAAAGCGUGGGGAGCAAACAGG
rnacentral:rRNA from 1 species